AGAGUUUGAUCCUGGCUCAGGACGAACGCUGGCGGCGUGCCUAAUACAUGCAAGUAGAACGCUGAAGAGAGGAGCUUGCUCUUCUUGGAUGAGUUGCGAACGGGUGAGUAACGCGUAGGUAACCUGCCUUGUAGCGGGGGAUAACUAUUGGAAACGAUAGCUAAUACCGCAUAACAAUGGAUGGCACAUGUCAUUUAUUUGAAAGGGGCAAUUGCUCCACUACAAGAUGGACCUGCGUUGUAUUAGCUAGUAGGUGAGGUAACGGCUCACCUAGGCGACGAUACAUAGCCGACCUGAGAGGGUGAUCGGCCACACUGGGACUGAGACACGGCCCAGACUCCUACGGGAGGCAGCAGUAGGGAAUCUUCGGCAAUGGGGGCAACCCUGACCGAGCAACGCCGCGUGAGUGAAGAAGGUUUUCGGAUCGUAAAGCUCUGUUGUAAGUCAAGAACGAGUGUGAGAGUGGAAAGUUCACACUGUGACGGUAGCUUACCAGAAAGGGACGGCUAACUACGUGCCAGCAGCCGCGGU
rnacentral:rRNA from 1 species